CACAUGCAAGUCGAACGGAGAUGUUCGCUGAAAUGACGGUAGCUUGCUACUUGAUUUCUUGGACAUCUUAGUGGCGGACGGGCGAGUAACGCGUGAGCAACCUGCCUUUCAGAGGGGAAUAACGGCUGGAAACGGUCGCUAAUACCGCAUAACGUGUCAUGAUGGCAUCAUCGAGACACCAAAGGAGCAAUCCGCUGAAAGAUGGGCUCGCGUCCGAUUAGAUAGUUGUGGGGUAACGGCUCACCAAGUCGACGAUCGGUAGCCGAACUGAGAGGUUGAUCGGCCGCAUUGGGACUGAGACACGGCCCAGACUCCUACGGGAGGCAGCAGUGGGGGAUAUUGCACAAUGGGGGAAACCCUGAUGCAGCAACGCCGCGUGAGGGAAGAAGGUCUUCGGAUUGUAAACCUAAGUUGUCAGGGACGAAACAUGACGGUACCUGAAGAGAAAGCUCCGGCUAACUACGUG
rnacentral:rRNA from 1 species